UGGGGAAUAUUGCACAAUGGGCGCAAGCCUGAUGCAGCCAUGCCGCGUGUAUGAAGAAGGCCUUCGGGUUGUAAAGUACUUUCAGCGGGGAGGAAGGGAGUAAAGUUAAUACCUUUGCUCAUUGACGUUACCCGCAGAAGAAGCACCGGCUAACUCCGUGCCAGCAGCCGCGGUAAUACUGAGGGUGCAAGCGUUAAUCGGAAUUACUGGGCGUAAAGCGCACGCAGGCGGUUUGUUAAGUCAGAUGUGAAAUCCCCGGGCUCAACCUGGGAACUGCAUCUGAUACUGGCAAGCUUGAGUCUCGUAGAGGGGGGUAGAAUUCCAGGUGUAGCGGUGAAAUGCGUAGAGAUCUGGAGGAAUACCGGUGGCGAAGGCGGCCCCCUGGACGAAGACUGACGCUCAGGUGCGAAAGCGUGGGGAGCAAACA
rnacentral:rRNA from 1 species